CGCGCAGGCGGCGUCGUAAGUCGGUCUUAAAAGUGCGGGGCUUAACCCCGUGAGGGGACCGAAACUGCGAUGCUAGAGUAUCGGAGAGGAAAGCGGAAUUCCUAGUGUAGCGGUGAAAUGCGUAGAUAUUAGGAGGAACACCAGUGGCGAAAGCGGCUUUCUGGACGACAACUGACGCUGAGGCGCGAAAGCCAGGGGAGCAAAACGG
rnacentral:rRNA from 1 species